rnacentral:sRNA from 1 species
UAAAGAACGCUGCCGAAGACAGUAGGUGCCGUAUGGCAUAAGUUUGAAAACGCCUACCGAGGACUAAGUAUUCUUUAUCAGAGAGAUUACGUUAAGCCUUACUGUCAAGCAGUAAGGCUUUUUUAUUCA